UUACGGUCAUAUCACGUUGCAACCCCACUUCUCGCACGAUCACCGAAAUUAAGCAACGUGAAGCCUGAUCAGUACCUAGAUGGGUGAUUGCUUGGGAAUACCUAGUGAAGC